rfam:Gossypium arboreum cultivar AKA8401 contig_67416_1, whole genome shotgun sequence.
GGAGGGAUUGCCUAGUGGCUUAAGGCAUUGGUUUGCUAAAUCGACAUAAAAUAAAAUUGUAUCAUGGGUUCGAAUCCCAUUUCCUCUG